AGAGUUUGAUCCUGGCUCAGGAUGAACGCUGGCGGCGUGCCUAACACAUGCAAGUCGAGCGAGAAGUCCUCAAACAAAACUUCGGUCUAGUGAGAGGAUGGAAAGCGGCGGACGGGUGAGUAACGCGUAGGCAACCUGCCCCGUACAGAGGGAUAGCCUCGGGAAACCGGGAUUAAGACCUCAUGAUGCGAGAGGAUCACAUGGUCUUUUCGCCAAAGAUUUAUUGAUUACAGAUGGGCAUGCGUAUCAUUAGCUAGUUGGUAAGGUAACGGCUCACCAAGGCAACGAUGAUUAGGGGUUCUGAGAGGAUAUCCCCCCACACUGGAACUGAGACACGGUCCAGACUCCUACGGGAGGCAGCAGUAGGGAAUAUUGGGCAAUGGAGGCAACUCUGACCCAGCCAUGCCGCGUGAAGGAAUACAGCCCUACGGGUUUUAAACUUCUUUUAUUAUAGAGUAACCGGAGGUACGUGUACCUCCCUGCAAGUAUAUAAUGAAUAAGGAUCGGCUAACUCCGUGCCAGCAGCCGCGGUAAUACGGAGGAUCCGAGCGUUAUCCGGAUUUAUUGGGUUUAAAGGGUGCGCAGGCUGAUCGAUAAGUCAGGGGUGAAAAAUUUCAGCUUAACUGGAAUCGUGCCUUUGAUACUGUCGGACUAGAGUGUAACUGACGUGACUGGAAUGUGCCGUGUAGCGGUGAAAUGCUUAGAUAUGUCACAGAACGCCAAUCGUGAAGACAGGUCACGAAGUUACUACUGACGCUCAUGCACGAAAGCGUGGGGAUCAAACAGGAUUAGAUACCCUGGUAGUCCACGCUGUAAAACGAUGAUUACUUGUUGUUGGGUAGCAAUACUCAGUGGCCAAGCGAAAGUGAUAAGUAAUCCACCUGGGGAGUACGAUCGCAAGGUUGAAACUCAAAGGAAUUGACGGGGGCCCGCACAAGCGGAGGAGCAUGUGGUUUAAUUCGAUGAUACGCGAGGAACCUUACCCGGGCUUGAACGUGAGACGAAUAUAUAAGAGAUUAUAUAGCCUUCGGGCGUCUUGCGAGGUGCUGCAUGGUUGUCGUCAGCUCGUGCCGUGAGGUGUUAGGUUAAGUCCUGCAACGAGCGCAACCCCUACACUUAGUUGCCAGCAUGUCAUGAUGGGGACUCUAAGAGAACUGCCUACGCAAGUAGAGAGGAAGGUGGGGAUGACGUCAAAUCAGCACGGCCCUUAUGUCCGGGGCUACACACGUGCUACAAUGGUAUGUACAGAGGGCAGCCACCUGGUGACAGGGAGCAAAUCCUCAAAACAUAUCUCAGUUCGGAUUGGAGUCUGUAACUCGACUCUAUGAAGUCGGAUUCGCUAGUAAUCGCGCAUCAGCCAUGGCGCGGUGAAUACGUUCCCGGGCCUUGUACUCACCGCCCGUCA
rnacentral:rRNA from 1 species